ensembl:lncRNA
UGUCAUCCAGAUGUUCAGAGGGAGAUGAUGCCACAUCUGGUCCAGCUGAUGGAAGGUCUUGAAGUUCUCUGACUGGCCUGGACUGAAGAUGGUCGUCUCACUGGAUUUAAGGUUCAGAUGCUCAGUAACAAACUCCACCAAUGAGCCAACAGUGAAGCUUUAGGUUUAUUAAAUGUUGCUAUGAAGGUAUCGCUGUUUUUCUUUGUGAAUGCAAUGAGCUCCAACUGAAACUUGAAUUAGAACUUAGAAGUAAAUCCUUCCAUCUGAAAGGAUUUAGUUGCAUUAAUAACCUCAUAACAUUCUAAUUUUUAUUCCAGUCUUGGUUGAAAUUAGAAUCUCUGUAUUGAUUCAGGUAAAAACUGAACUUCACAGCAUGUUGGAGCAAAACAACCAGAUGAAAACUGUGAUGGUGUUGGAUUGUCAGACCGUAAUGUUGCAGCUCAAAGCAGCUUUUCUAGCUCAGUUCAUUCUGACAUUCAGCUAUGAAUCAACACAGCAGAUGGUGAUCCAUGCUGUGGAAGUCUCACAUCUCCUGAUUUAGUGGAGCUGCUUUGCACUUUUUACACUGUUUAUUCACCAACACUUUAUUUAAUAAAAGUCGCAUCUAGUUUUUAUGAGGAAUGUGAUGUUUUAAUUUCUCUGUUAAUAACUGCAGUCUAAUGGAACAGCUGGAGUUGUAACAUCUGUCCUGAUAUUGAUCAUGAAGUAUUGAUCACAAUACUUAUGGUUAGCAGUCAUCCCUGAAGUUUUACAUUAAAAUCUUUACUUGUGUUGUGAACUUUGGUAAGAAGCAGAAACAUUAGCGUUGCCAUGGAUACAUGAGUGUUAAAUUCUGUCCAUGUUUCCAUUUUGGGAAAUGCAGUCCAGUUCCAGAAUGUGGAGGAAUUUAGUCUCAAUCACAGACAACAAAUAUUAUCUGAAAGUCAGGUUAUUGUUGUUUAUCAGCACAAUACAAAAAGAUUAAUGUUAGAAAUAUUCCAGUUAAGACUCUAGAAUAUCAUGAUUUAUGUAAAUUUUCCUCAAUAAUAUGAAUGUUCAGGUUAAGAUUGUACAGUGAUAUUAUGUAAGUUUAGCUGAUUAACGUUUAUGACUCUGCACUAAAAUAUUAUUUAAAUUGACAUCAUUAUUACAAUAUUUAGGGUCAGACCCUACAGUAUUGAGAUUAAGAAAUCAAAUAUUCUAUAAAAUGUAAAUACACUGAACUCAUUUGGAUAUAUUUAAGUGAGACUCUACAAUAUUAUUUGACACAAAUCUAUCUAGAUUUUAAUCAUUUUUACUCCAAACAUUUACUUUACUGAUUUAAACAUUAAAAUCACUCCUUUCUAAUCCUCUGCUGUAUGUUCAAACAUGAGGCCUGAAAUAGAGAAACACACAAGUAUCUGAUUGAAGGAACUUCUGCAGAGUCCUGGUUCCAGAACAUGAUGAUAGAAUUAUAGACAAACUUUAACAAAAGCUGCCUGAGAGUUUACAGGUUUUUAUGUUAGAUUUCUUCAGUAAUUUAAUGAGAGUUAUCAGCAAAAAUCAAGUGUUCAUUUGAUGAACUUAAUUUCCUAAAACAUCCAGAAUUGGAGCUCAUAUCUUUGGCAGUUGUAAAGUUUCUGCUCCUUCAAAGUUCACAACACAAUGAACGAAUUCCUAAAACACUCUCAAUGCUGGAGAGCAUUUGUGAUGCUGAAGCAGUGACCAGUUUUUCUGUUUCUUCUCUGGAGAUGCACAAUGAGGGACGUCUGCAGCGACUGAGAAAGAGUCUCACCACAUCCUGACAUGAGGAAAAGACUUUAUUGAAGACUACAAUGAGGAAAAUUAUCAGACAGCAGACGGCUGCAUUCAAGUUUAGGCUGUUAGAUUGUUCCAGAUAAGACAAGUACAAGAUUCUUCAGAGCCGUUCUACCACGAGCCUGACAGGAAGAACUCCAACAGCUACUGAAUGUUCCUGUGGUCCCCUCAAGGCUACAGGAGGAGCCCUACGAGGACGAGCCGGUCCACCUGAUGGAGGCCAGUCGCUGCGGUUCAAAGCCAACACCGACUACGUGGACUUCUACUGGACCACACGGAGGCCUUCAAACCGGACCAACAAGUUCAGCGACUCCCCGACUCGUGGGUCUGAGGAUGCCGCCGAGCCUCGGUCCAGCCGGCCUCCUGUCUGUGGGUGUUUGAUUGCUGAGAGGUUUGUGGAUGCAUGUGAACGUGUCUGUGUUGAAACAGCAGCUUUUGACUCACUAACACCGGGAAAAACCAAGAGCUCCUUUAUUUGUGACUUCCACUAAAAAAAACUGAUGAAAAUAAGUUUGCCAGGGUUCUGACUGAUAUCAGAUUAUUAAAUAAUGAAAAUAAAAAUUUAAAUAUUCCUUUAAACAAUCCUUUUAGGUCUACGUUUCCUUGACACUGACUUCUUGGUAUUUUGGGUGGAAUAUACCAUUAAGCCCAAUGUUCAAGGGUUCUUCUGGGAAUAUACCAUUAAACCAACCUUUUAGGUACCGUAAAUGUUCCUGGAUGUUGGGUAUAAUAUUCCAUCAGAUAAACCUUUUAGGUCUACAUUGGAAGAUUUUAGAGUAGAAUAUUACUCCAAACCAUCCUUUAGGUCUACAUUUAAGGUGGAAUACUCCUUCAUACCAAGAUUUUUUGGUCUACAUUGAAGGCUUUUAGGUGGAAUAUUCCUUUGAACGAACUUUUUAAGUUAAUGUUCAAGGAUGUUGGGUGGAAUAUACCAUCAGACCAACCUCCAAGGUCUACUGUAGUGAAUUUUAGGUGGAAUAUACCAUUAAGGUCGAUGUGUGAGGACCUUGUAGGUGGAAUACUCCCUGAAACCAACCUUUUAGGUCAACAUGCAAAGAUUUAAGGUGGAAUAUUCCUUUAAAUCAACCUAAAUUUCAUGUUUUGAUCAUUAACAAGUGAGAAACCUCAAUCCAGACUCCUCAUAAUGACGUUUGAGAUUUAAGC